GCAGUCAUGGCCUAAAAGUUAGAGCGUUGGACUUCUAACCCGAAGGUAGUGGGUUCAAGUCUCAGGCUGGCAGGG